GAUGAACGCUGGCGGCGUGCCUAAUACAUGCAAGUCGAGCGAACAGACGAGGAGCUUGCUCCUCUGACGUUAGCGGCGGACGGGUGAGUAACACGUGGAUAACCUACCUAUAAGACUGGGAUAACUUCGGGAAACCGGAGCUAAUACCGGAUAAUAUAUUUAACCGCAUGGUUCAAUAGUGAAAGACGGUUUUGCUGUCACUUAUAGAUGGAUCCGCGCCGCAUUAGCUAGUUGGUAAGGUAACGGCUUACCAAGGCAACGAUGCGUAGCCGACCUGAGAGGGUGAUCGGCCAAACUGGAACUGAGACACGGUCCAGACUCCUACGGGAGGCAGCAGUAGGGAAUCUUCCGCAAUGGGCGAAAGCCUGCCGGAGCAACGCCGCGUGAGUGAUGAAGGUCUUCGGAUCGUAAAACUCUGUUAUUAGGGAAGAACAAAUGUGUAAGUAACUAUGCACGUCUUGACGGUACCUACUCAGAAAGCCACGGCUAACUACGUG
rnacentral:rRNA from 1 species